rnacentral:tRNA from 3 species
GGGCGAUUAGCUCAGCUGGUUAGAGCGUCGGCCUCACAUGCCGAAGGUCACAGGUUCGAGUCCUGUAUCGCCCACCA